CGCUAGCGGCAGGCUUAACACAUGCAAGUCAGGGGCAUCGCGGGGUAGCAAUACUCUGGCGGCGACCGGCGAAAAGGGUGAGUAACGCGUGAGCAACAUGCCCGUGUGAGGGGGAUAGUCAUUGGAAACGAUGCGUAAUACCCCGUAAUAUCAUGGACCGCAUGGUUUGUGAUUGAAAGAUUCAUCGCACACGGAUUUGGCUCGCGUACCAUUAGCUUGUUGGCGGGGUAACGGCCCACCAAGGCUACGAUGGUUAGGGGUUCUGAGAGGAAGGUCCCCCCACAUUGGAACUGAGACACGGUCCAGACUCCUACGGGAGGCAGCAGUGAGGAAUAUUGGUCAAUGGCCGAGAGGCUGAACCAGCCAUGCCGCGUGCGGGAGGACGGCCCUAUGGGUUGUAAACCGUCUUUUUGUGGGAGCAAUAAGUUGCACGUGUGCAAUGAUGAGAGUACCAUGAGAAUAAGCAUCGGCUAACUCCGUGCC
rnacentral:rRNA from 1 species